UAAAGCAUAAUUGUCCACAAUGGGAAG
rnacentral:piRNA from 1 species